rnacentral:rRNA from 1 species
UACGUAGGUGGCAAGCGUUGUCCGGAAUUAUUGGGCGUAAAGCGCGCGCAGGCGGUCCUUUAAGUCUGAUGUGAAAGCCCACGGCUCAACCGUGGAGGGUCAUUGGAAACUGGGGGACUUGAGUGCAGGAGAGAAGAGUGGAAUUCCACGUGUAGCGGUGAAAUGCGUAGAGAUGUGGAGGAACACCAGUGGCGAAGGCGACUCUCUGGGCUGUAACUGACGCUGAGGCGCGAAAGCGUGGGGAGCAAACAGG